CCCUUAGAUGUUCUGGGCCGCACGCGCGCUACACUGAUGCAUUCAACGAGUCUAAAACCUGCUCUGAUAGGGGUGGGUAAUCUUUUGAAUGUGCAUCGUGAUUGGGAUAGAUGAUUGCAAUUUUUCAUCUUCAACGAGGAAUGCCUAGUAAACGCAAGUCAUCAGCUUGCAUUGAUUACGUCCCUGCCCUUUGUACACACCGCCCGUCGCUCCUACCGAUUGAAUGAUCCGAUGAAUAUCAUGGAUUGAGGAUGCAAGCAGGUUCGCCUGUCUUCAUCUUUGAGAAGUGAAGUAAAUCUUAUCAUUUAGAGGAAGGAGAAGUCGUAACA
rnacentral:rRNA from 1 species